rnacentral:lncRNA from 1 species
ACAAAGUCCUGCAGAGGGUGAGACUGGCCUGGUUCCCUGACUCCUGAGUCUCAGCUCUUGCUUCAUAUGGGGUAAGGGAGGGAACAUUUGAACACCUCCCUGGCUAAAACUCCUCAUGAAAUCUUCUACAUGGAUGGAUGACAUGCAGGAAGAAACAUAAGCCAUUUCUACUCAGAGUUCACCAUAUCACUAAGAAUGAUCAGAAUGAUUGUGAAGCACCGGAAAACUCCUAAACAUGAGAAAAAGAAGAUAAUUUAGAGUUUGUUUAUCAGAGCAUCCAGGUCUUAAUGACUGUCUCCCCCCGCCCUCCUCAACAGAAGUAACUGAAGCAAGGCACCUACAAACUCUGCCUCCCUGGCUCAGUAGCCAGUGCUGACCAGCCACAAUUUGAUCCAACUUUUGCUGUCAGAUUUGACGCUACAGUGGAAAGACAGACUCCACCACGCAGAUUCAGGCUCAGUGUGGACUUUGGCAGAGAAUUCUCAGAACCAGAGUGGUGGACAGUCAAUGAGGAAACAAUGCCUGGCAGAUUUCUCAUCUGAGAGGGGCUAGGAUGAAGGAAGGAUAUAAGAUCACUAAAGAUCCAUGAAAAUGUCUUUGAAGCAUUACUCCUUGCCCCGUCGCUUGCCUCCCGACCCAGUGGGUAAGAAGCACGCACAUUGCUCAGGGAGAG